GGUCUGUUUUGCCUGAACCCAUCAACAACUGGGAAAUAAUCAACCACACUGAAAAUGG
ensembl:misc_RNA